rnacentral:rRNA from 1 species
GAUGAACGCUGGCGGCGUGCCUAAUACAUGCAAGUCGAGCGAACGGACGAGCAGCUUGCUUCUCUGAUGUUAGCGGCGGACGGGUGAGUAAAACGUGGAUAACCUACCUAUAAGACUGGGAUAACUUCGGGAAACCGGAGCUAAUACCGGAUAAUAUUUUGAACCGCAUGGUUCAAAAGUGAAAGACGGUCUUGCUGUCACUUAUAGAUGGAUCCGCGCUGCAUUAGCUAGUUGGUAAGGUAACGGCUUACCAAGGCAACGAUGCGUAGCCGACCUGAGAGGGUGAGCGGCCACACCGGAACUGAGACACGGUCCAGACUCCUACGGGAGGCAGCAGUAGGGAAUCUUCCGCAAAGGGCGAAAGCCUGACGGAGCAACGCCGCGUGAGUUAUGAAGGUCUUCGGAUCGUAAAACUCUGUUAUUAGGGAAGAACAUAUGUGUAAGUAACUGUGCACAUCUUGACGGUACCUAAUCAGAAAGCCACGGCUAACUACGUG